CACGAGUUAUGGCUGAGAUUUGGAAAUCUAGAGGAAAUUUGGUAUCAUAUAUGCAGAGAUAACUAUUUAAAGAGAGGCUGCAGCUACGGCUAGCAUUCAUACCAUGUGGAAACAGACUGACUUCUUGGUGCCGCUUACAAACUCUUCUCUCCUGCAACCUGUGCUCCUCCUUCCCAGUUCUAUACAGAUGUGGCCUUCAGGAACACCCCACAAAUCCUGGCAGAGCAUCCCUGCCAGAUAAGAAAGCGCCCGAAAUGCAGCAAGGAAGGCAUGUUUGGGAGGUACUGCAGUCCCCAGUGCAGAAAAAAAAAGGAAUGUAAUGAGUGCUCAGAAGCCAAACGGCAGGACAUAAAAGAGAAUUAAGCAUUUGUUAAGAAGGCAACUGAGAGGAUGAUUAAAAUAAUGGAGGAGCAAAUGCAGAUGCUGAAGUCCUUAAUAGUGCCACAGACGGAGCGGAUCCAAUGCCGACCUCCCCUGCAGCACAUUCAGAACUCUUUUACAUGCACCCCCCUAAACUCCGCCCACACAUUCCUUUCCACUUUCCGGGAGUUCUUGGUUUCCCCUUCACUUCAUCCCCUUGGACAACUUUCACCAUAGCUGGACCU